UACAGAGGUCCCGAGCGUUGUUCGGAUUUAUUGGGCGUAAAGAGCUCGUAGGUGGCUUAGUAAGUCGGGUGUGAAACCUCCAGGCUCAACCUGGAGACGCCACCCGAUACUGCUAUAGCUUGAGUCCGGUAGGGGAGCGUGGAAUUCCUGGUGUAGCGGUGAAAUGCGCAGAUAUCAGGAGGAACACCAAUUGCGAAGGCAGCUCGCUGGGACGUUACUGACGCUGAGACGCGAAAGCGUGGGGAGCAAACAGG
rnacentral:rRNA from 1 species